AGCGGCGAGCGAACGGGGAGCAGCCCAGAGCCUGAAUCAGUGUGUGUGUUAGUGGAAGCGUCUGGAAAGGCGCGCGAUACAGGGUGACAGCCCCGUACACAAAAAUGCACAUGCUGUGAGCUCGAUGAGUAGGGCGGGACACGUGGUAUCCUGUCUGAAUAUGGGGGGACCAUCCUCCAAGGCUAAAUACUCCUGACUGACCGAUAGUGAACCAGUACCGUGAGGGAAAGGCGAAAAGAACCCCGGCGAGGGGAGUGAAAAAGAACCUGAAACCGUGUACGUACAAGCAGUGGGAGCACGCUUAGGCGUGUGACUGCGUACCUUUUGUAUAAUGGGUCAGCGACUUAUAUUCUGUAGCAAGGUUAACCGAAUAGGGGAGCCGAAGGGAAACCGAGUCUUAACUGGGCGUUAAGUUGCAGGGUAUAGACCCGAAACCCGGUGAUCUAGCCAUGGGCAGGUUGAAGGUUGGGUAACACUAACUGGAGGACCGAACCGACUAAUGUUGAAAAAUUAGCGGAUGACUUGUGGCUGGGGGUGAAAGGCCAAUCAAACCGGGAGAUAGCUGGUUCUCCCCGAAAGCUAUUUAGGUAGCGCCUCGUGAAUUCAUCUCCGGGGGUAGAGCACUGUUUCGGCAAGGGGGUCAUCCCGACUUACCAACCCGAUGCAAACUGCGAAUACCGGAGAAUGUUAUCACGGGAGACACACGGCGGGUGCUAACGUCCGUCGUGAAGAGGGAAACAACCCAGACCGCCAGCUAAGGUCCCAAAGUCAUGGUUAAGUGGGAAACGAUGUGGGAAGGCCCAGACAGCCAGGAUGUUGGCUUAGAAGCAGCCAUCAUUUAAAGAAAGCGUAAUAGCUCACUGGUCGAGUCGGCCUGCGCGGAAGAUGUAACGGGGCUAAACCAUGCACCGAAGCUGCGGCAGCGACACUAUGUGUUGUUGGGUAGGGGAGCGUUCUGUAAGCCUGUGAAGGUGUGCUGUGAGG
rnacentral:rRNA from 1 species